GAGUAUAAGAAGAACAUAUAUUUAAUUAUCGUAAACAUAAUUUAUAUCUUAUAUUACAUAUGAAGAUGAUGAUUCAUACGAUAAUAAAAUGUUUAUACUUAAAAGAGAAUAUAUUUAAAUAAGAACAAACUAUAACAUGGAUUAAACUAAUAUGGCCUAAGCUAAUCAUAAAUUAAAUUAAAAAAAAAAAAAAGUAUCUAUUAUAGGAAAGAUAUCGAUUUCUAUCAGUUUUAAGUGAAUUUCAUAUUUUGAUAAAAUUUUUCUUCCCGAAAUCUCAAAAAAUCUUAUCUUUGAUAAUUUAAACGAUUGAGAUAUUAAUCCACGAUAUUUAAUAUUAAUUAGAUACGAUGACAAAUACGAAACUUUUCUUGUUUUUAUUUACAUUGUAGUUACAAUCGUAUAUCAUUAGCUCGUAAUAAUUAUUUAUUUCUUUUAUUAUUUAUUACUUGUAUCGAUUUGAUUUUGAUUCUCAAUAAUUUCUCUUGUUAAUUUUUUGGAAAAAAUUGUUUAACUUGCAUAAAAAUUUAAUAUUAUAAUAACCAUUAAAAAAUAAAUAAAUAAAAACGAAAAUUCGCUAAUUAGUUAUUUAUAUCGACGUCGUCAUUUUCUAAACAAAUCAAUAUAAUAAAUAUCUAUCGUUUUUCAAAUGAUUACAAUAUCAUUGGCCGAUAUACGUAUUCACUUUAUUUCUAAAAUUUGAAUAUAAAUAAAAUGAUUUUUAGAAAAUAACUAUUGUUAAAUCAAUUAAUUAUAAAUAAAAAAAUUAUCGAUAAAUGAUCAAUAAGAUGAUAUCCUUAUGAUUAUCACUCUAAACUUUUCAAAUAUUUAUGUUUCAACAUCGACUUUAUUAUUACAAUGUAUAAUAUACAUAAUGUAUAUAAUAUUUAAUUAUAUUUUCAUUAUUAUCAUUAUCAUUAUUAUUAUUAUUAUUAAUUGUAAUAAUAAUAGUAGUAGUAGUAACAGUUGCAAUAAUAUACAGUGGAUUAAAAAAUACGAAAACACGAAAAAAAAAAGAAAAAGAAAAAGAAAAAGAAAACAAACAAAUAAAAAAAAAAAAUACAGAAUGUUCUUUCGAUUUUUAUUAAAAUAACAUUUAAUAUACAACAUAAACAAUAUUCUCUAAUCGUUAUUUCGAACAAAACACAUAUCGACGGAAUCCUGUUUAUCAUUAUUUUCUUUUUCUUUUUCUUUUUUAAAAUUUUUUAUAUCAAAUUUCUAUACCACACUUAUUUUUCUAUACGUAUCAACAAUAUCUAUUAUUCAUCGUACGCUUAUUUUAUCGUAAAAAACAAAUGUUUAUCGUUUUAUAGAAAUGAAAACGUUCAUUUUUAUUGUACGAAUUAUGUGACGUCGUCAUUUGAACAUAUUAUCUUGAAGAUUAAUUUAAUUACGAAUUCAAUCAUUUAUCUUUCAUCGAGAGAUUUACUUUCGUCAACACGCAACAAAUGCCCAGACGUCGGGGAAUUCAAAAUUUAUGAACAAUGAAGAAGAAGAAAAAAAAAAAAAAAAGGAAGAAGAAAAAAAUCUAUGACAAAAACCAGUUUUAUCGAGGAAGAAACAUUUAUUUACUACUUCGUACUUCGAGGAAUUUCGUGAUUCCUCGAUAUCGCAUAAUAAUCGAUCUGAGAAAUAUUCUUCAAUGCCUUAGAACCUAAGGCAACGCUGUGUAUAAUGACGUAAUCAUGAAAAUAAUUUCUCUAGUUCUAUAAAUAUGAACACUGAAACGAACGAAGCACCAGAUCGUUUUUAUUUCUCAACGACAGGAACAACAAUAUCGAUCUUCAGAUUGGAUUAUUACUUUUUUAUCAACUUAAUUUUAUCAUAAUGUAAGUAAUAAGUGCAUAAGGAAAUUAUUAUAUAAAUUGUUGAAUAUUUAUAUCAUAUAUAUGUUCGAAUAAUUUGAAUGAAAGUUUUCUUUUUUUAUGUCCUUUAGAUUAAAAAAGAAAAAAAAAAAAAGAAUAAAUAAAAAAGAAAGAGAAAUUAAUAAGAAGAAAUAAGAAGGAAAGAAAACAAAAAAAGAAGAAAAAUCGCAAAUCUUUUCCAAGAAACAUAAAUUAUUAUUUUGUGCGUCGCUUACGAUAAGAAUCGAUAUGCGUUUCUUCAUGAUCAUUAGCAUGAUUUUCGUGUGCAUCAUUAUCGAUAUGAUAACGGCACAAACUACAGAAGCUAAUAAUGAGCCUAAGAAUAAUACGCCAUCAUAUCGACGAUAUGGAGGACACGGAGGAGGACACGCAGCUAAACCUAAUAUAAUUCAUGGACCAACUAUACCCUGUCCAUCUGGACAGCAACAUGAUUCGAACGGUAAAUGUCGUACUUCAGUAUAAUUUUUCGAUAAAUCGAUUAUAUACAUUAACAUUGACUCGUAUUUUCAAUUAAAUAUAAAUUAAAAUUAAUUAAAAUCGAUUAAAGAAUAUAAGAUAGAAUCCACGUAUAUUCUUUUUUACCAAAGUUGAAAAGUUUUAAAUAGAUUAGAUAAAGUUAGAUAUCUAAGUACUAUUAGGGAUAGAAAUAAAUCAAUUUAUUUAUAUCCCUAAUUUUUAUUUAUGCCGGACUAUAACAUAUAUUCGUAAUACUAUAUAUAUAUAUAUAUGUUAGUAAUAAUUAUUUUGUAAGAAAAUAAUUUUUUUUUUAUACUUAUACAAUAUUACGCAUUAUCUAGAGCUAUUAACUCUAAUUAUAAUUUGAAUUGUGGAUUAGAUUAUAAUGAAAUAAUUCAAUUCAAAUGAAUAAACGAUUUAAAAAAAAUAUAUCAAUGUUCGUAUUAUCGAGUGUAUUUCUUUUUUUUUUUUUUUUUUUUUUUUUUGUUUUUCCUCUCAACAACAAAUCAAAAAUAAUUCUGAUUAGUGUAUUGACUAUCGAUCGAAUAAUAAAAGAAACACUGGAGAAUGUUAUCGUAGACUUAAUAGACAUAUCUGUCUGUAUAUGUGUUUAUCGAAGGUAAAACAUAUAAAUAUUUUAUGUAUGUAUUCAUUACGUUAUUAUUAGUUUUAAUAUGGAAAUAAAAGAUGAGUGAUAAUGCA